GAGUGGAGAUGGGAUUGAGAGAAAACAUGAGGAGAUGAUGGGAAUGAGUAACAAAAGUGAAAACGAAAACUAAAAAUUGAAAUCUAUUUGAAAUUGUUUUCACUUUAAACUUUUUGUUUUCACUUUUAUUACUCAUCCCUUUCAUCCUUCCCUUUCAUCAUAUCUCU
rnacentral:snoRNA from 1 species